rnacentral:rRNA from 1 species
UACGGAGGGUGCAAGCGUUAUCCGGAUUCACUGGGUUUAAAGGGUGCGUAGGUGGGUUUGUAAGUCAGUGGUGAAAUCUCCAAGCUUAACUUGGAACUGCCGUUGAUACUAUAAAUCUUGAAUGUUGUGGAGGUGAGCGGAAUAUGUCAUGUAGCGGUGAAAUGCUUAGAUAUGACAUAGAACACCAAAUUGCGAAGGCAGCUCACUACACAAAGAUUGACACUGAGGCACGAAAGCGUGGGGAUCAAACAGG